rnacentral:rRNA from 1 species
GCUGCGAAAGCGUUUGUCAAAGAUGUUUUCAUUAAUCAGGAACGAAAGUCAGGGGAUCGAAGACGAUCAGAUACCGUCGUAGUCUUGACCAUAAACUAUGCCGACUAGGGAUCGGGCGAUGUUAUAUUUUGACUCGCUCGGCACCUUACGAGAAAUCAAAGUGCUUGGGCUCCAGGGGGAGUAUGGUCGCAAGGCUGAAACUUAAAGAAAUUGACGGAAGGGCACCCCCAGGGGUGGAGCCUGCGGCUUAAUUUGACUCAACACGGGGAAACUCACCAGGUCCAGACACAAUGAGGAUUGACAGAUUGAGAGCUCUUUCUUGAUUUUGUGGGUGGUGGUGCAUGGCCGUUCUUAGUUGGUGGAGUGAUUUGUCAGAUUAAUUUCGAUAACGAACGAGACCUUCACUGUUAACUAGCCCGCAUUGCUUUGGCAGUGCGCUGGCUUCUUAGCGGGACUACUGGCGCGAGCCAAUGGAAGUUGGAGGCGAUAACAGGUCUGUGAUGCCCUUAGAUGUACUGGGCCGCACGCGCGCUACACUGACGGAGCCAGCGAGUACUUCCUUAACCGACAGGUUUGGGUAAUCUUGUUAAACUCCGUCGUGCUGGGGAUAGAGCAUUGCAAUAAUCGAAUUCCCGCGGUCUGUACAUAGCUGACAGCGAUCAUGACUCCACCUUAAUGA